UGGUGGGGCCGGGUCGUGGAGUGCUCUGGGGCGACUGAGGCCGCCUGGUGUCCCAGGUGUCAUGGGACUGCCCUCGUGUGUGUGGUGGUGUGACCCCGUGCUGGUUUGCCUGGCGUGCCUGGGUCCUUUCUCCUCUCCCUGGGCAGGCACCCGCGUCCCUGCCUCACAGCCCUUGCCCCGUGUGCAUUGUGGCAUCUCUCUCGAUGCCGGCCGCUCCCACGUUCGCCCUCCUCGCUCCCGCUCGUCUGUCUGACCUCCCGUCUGUCUGGUCCCCAUCUGCCGACCCCCGGACCGGCGUCCUGGUGCGUCUCGCUUUCCUGGGCCCGCUGCGGCCCCGCUCCGUGCCCGCCGCCGCUUCCUUGCCCCGCCUGUCCGCCGGUGUCGUUGCGUGUGGUCGAGGGGUGGCCUUCUGCCACCCCCCACCCCCUGCCGCGUGCCCCUCCCUCCCGGCUCUGCUGAGCUCACCUGAGCGCGAGUCGGGACCCGGUCCCGACGUGACUGCUCGGUGCCCCGGGCCGUCGAGGGGGAGGUCCGUGUCUGGGGUGUGGUGGUGGUGGGGGAGCUUGGGGCUUCCCCCCUCGUCCCUCCGCGACGCCGCGGUGCGGCCCCGCGCCGCUUGUGCCCUCGGUCGAGUUGUCGGGCGGCCCGUCGUCGGUCCUCGCUGCGGGUGUGGUGGGCCGCUGGGUCCCUGGGGUGCGCCUCCGCCCCCACCCCGCUGUCACCGCCCUGCAAGCACGCACGCCUUGCGCUGGGGUCCACCUGGCCCGCUGUCCCACCGUCUCCUACCUGGUUGA
ensembl:lncRNA